GUGAACGCUGGCGGUAGGCCUAACACCUGCAAGUCGAACGGCAGCACAGUAAGAGCUUGCUCUUACGGGUGGCGAGUGGCGGACGGGUGAGGAAUACAUCGGAAUCUACUUUUUCGUGGGGGAUAACGUAGGGAAACUUACGCUAAUACCGCAUACGACCUACGGGUGAAAGCAGGGGAUCUUCGGACCUUGCGCGAUUGAAUGAGCCGAUGUCGGAUUAGCUAGUUGGCGGGGUAAAGGCCCACCAAGGCGACGAUCCGUAGCUGGUCUGAGAGGAUGAUCAGCCACACUGGAACUGAGACACGGUCCAGACUCCUACGGGAGGCAGCAGUGGGGAAUAUUGGACAAUGGGCGCAAGCCUGAUCCAGCCAUACCGCGUGGGUGAAGAAGGCCUUCGGGUUGUAAAGCCCUUUUGUUGGGAAAGAAAAGCAGCAGGUUAAUACCCCGCUGUUCUGUCGGUACCCAAAGAAUAAGCACCGGCUAACUUCGUG
rnacentral:rRNA from 1 species